AUGUGAUUCCAAAAAGUUUCCCGCCGCCGCGGCCGUCAUCGCUCAAUCUCUGAAAGAAAAUGGUAGCUGGCUUUGAUGGAGCUGUGGACAUGUCCCUGCCCUUGUUUUUACACAGAGAACCCCAAUUCAAUUCAAUUCAAUGCUGGAAGUGAUGAUGAUGAUGGUGGUGAUGAAAUCUCCACACGCUUUGCCAAUCCAUAAUGACAAUGACACCACACCCACACCCACACCCCUUCUCUCCAAGUAAUUACAAAAUUUUCAAACUCUUUUGGAUAAUAUGCCCUUAACAUGUAAGUAGGUGUAUCAAUGAGUUAUAUUUAAUUCUCGUA